rnacentral:lncRNA from 1 species
CCGGCUAAUAUACUCUUAUGAGUAUAGCCCAUUUUGUACUCAUUAAGUUUUUUGCCGUUAAAUCUAGUUCUUUGAUCAUUUCCACCCAUUAGAUCAUACUAUUCAACCAACCACCCACUCAAACGUAAGGGACUAUUAUUAAUCUAACCGAGAACCACUAUCAUCCUAACCGCACAUCUUUUCAUCCAAUGGUCGAAAACUUAUGAGUUCAAAGGGGCUAUACUCAUAAGAGUAUAGUAGCCCUAGCCUAUAUAUAUAUAUA